AUGAACGCUGGCGGCGUGCCUAAUACAUGCAAGUCGAGCGAACAGACGAGGAGCUUGCUCCUCUGACGUUAGCGGCGGACGGGUGAGUAACACGUGGAUAACCUACCUAUAAGACUGGGAUAACUUCGGGAAACCGGAGCUAAUACCGGAUAAUAUAUUGAACCGCAUGGUUCAAUAGUGAAAGACGGUUUUGCUGUCACUUAUAGAUGGAUCCGCGCCGCAUUAGCUAGUUGGUAAGGUAACGGCUUACCAAGGCAACGAUGCGUAGCCGACCUGAGAGGGUGAUCGGCCACACUGGAACUGAGACACGGUCCAGACUCCUACGGGAGGCAGCAGUAGGGAAUCUUCCGCAAUGGGCGAAAGCUUGACGGAGCAACGCCGCGUGGGUGAUGAAGGUCUUCGGAUCGUAAAACUCUGUUAUUAGGGAAGAACAAAUGUGUAAGUAACUAUGCACGUCUUGACGGUACCUAAUCAGAAAGCCACGGCUAACUACGUG
rnacentral:rRNA from 1 species